GCCUGCAGCUCACAAGUGGUAGCCCACAUAAGCUAAGCAGGGCUGAGCCUGGUCAGUACCUGGAUGGGAGACCUCCUGGGAAGCUGUGGUUGCUGCUGGAA
rnacentral:rRNA from 1 species